UGUGUCUUCCACCGAUGUGCUCCUCACAACAUUUAACCACUUGUGUGUCUGCCUUGCUAGGGUCUCGAGUUUUUACAGGCCCAGGAUGGGGGCAUGGCAAGCCAAGGUGGUCUUGGAGAAUGCAACAUUGAUUACCCCAGUAAACCUCCAAUAAAUUAUAUAAUUAUAAUAUUGCUAAUGAUUUCAUCAAAAAAGGAAACCACUCUUGUAUCUUUAACUCUAUGAAGAAAUAGCUUAAUUUCAUUAACAUUGUUGUAAAAUUAGAUUCCAGAAAUAUUAAAUGCAUUCCUGUAGUAAUACAGGUCACAGUUCACAGAAUGGUCCAUGUAUUAUUUUGCAAUACAUUUGAAAAUAUUACGUAUUUGUCACUUUAAGCCAGCAAUGUGGUGCACAUUGCUGGCCUGUAAUCCCAGUACUUUGGGAGGCUGAGGUGGCAUGAGCACUUGAGGCCAGCAGAUCAAGACCAACCUGGUCAACAUAAUGAGACCCCCAUCUCUACCAACAAAUUAAAUAAACAAUUAUCUGGGCUUGGUGGUACAUGGCCAUAGCCCCAGAUACUUGGGAGGCUGAGGCAGCAUGAUUGCUUGAGUCCAGGAGGUUGAGGCUGCAGUGAGCUAUGAUUGCACUACUGUACACCAACCUUGGUUACUGAGUGAAAUUCUGUCUAUAAAAUAAAAAGAACAUUAGUUGCUUUAAUGUUAUUUAGGUGUUUUGAUAGCAUUUAUUUUUAAAUAGAAAGACUCCUAUAUCUUGGUAAACAUUUUUACAACUUGACAGUACCAUAUUAAAGCUCUGAGUCUUCAAACAAGUGUGAUGUUUUUAUUGUGAUCAAUUUCAUGGCUUCUGGCAUCUGAGCAUCAGCUUUUGCUUCACCUGUUAGAAAAGUAUCAAAAAAUUCAGUCGAUUUUAUAAUUAUUAGAAUUAAAUGAAUUCUUGCCUUUCUAGUAUAGCUGUCUCAAAGCUAUAUCAGAGCUGCUGCUUUUAGUAAUUUAUAUAUAUGUGUGUAUAUACAUAUAUAUCUAAAUAUACUUAAAAUAUAUAUACAUCUUUUUUUGAUUCAUUUACCCAAUACAUUUUUCCUACUAGAGGAGACAAUUUUGCAACUUUUGUUUUGAA
rnacentral:lncRNA from 10 species